ACAAGAGUGUGAUGAUUGAUUACAUUAAAAAUUUUACAGUUAUCCCUGGCUUACGGGUGUGGUAACCCAUACGAUGGUGAGGGAAUGUUCUCAACUGAUUCUUGU
rnacentral:snoRNA from 1 species